UUUGAAACACCGGACCCCAUACGAUCACCAAAGUUAAGCAACGUCGAACCUGGUCAGUAACCAGCUGGGUGGCCAGUUGGGAAUACCAGGUGCUGUAA